UACAGAGGUCCCGAGCGUUGUUCGGAUUCAUUGGGCGUAAAGGGCGCGUAGGCGGCUUUUCAAGUGACGGGUGAAAUCCCUCGGCUUAACCGAGGAACUGCCUGUCAGACUGGAAGGCUUGAGACCGGGAGAGGUGAGUGGAAUUCCCAGUGUAGCGGUGAAAUGCGUAGAUAUUGGGAGGAACACCAGUGGCGAAGGCGGCUCACUGGACCGGAACUGACGCUGAGGCGCGAAAGCGUGGGGAGCAACAGG
rnacentral:rRNA from 1 species